CUACGGGGCGCAGCAGUGAGGAAUAUUGCACAAUGGGGGAAACCCUGAUGCAGCAACGCCGCGUGGAGGAUGACGCAUUUCGGUGUGUAAACUCCUUUUAUAUGUCAAGAAAAUGACGGUAGCAUAUGAAUAAGCACCGGCUAACUCCGUGCCAGCAGCCGCGGUAAUACGGAGGGUGCAAGCGUUACUCGGAAUCACUGGGCGUAAAGGACGCGUAGGCGGGUUGGAAAGUCAGGUGUGAAAUCCUACAGCUUAACUGUAGAACUGCACUUGAAACUUCUAAUCUAGAGUAUGGGAGGGGGAGAUGGAAUUAGUGGUGUAGGGGUAAAAUCCGUAGAUAUCACUAGGAAUACCUAAAGCGAAGGCGAUCUCCUGGAACAUUACUGACGCUAAGGCGUGAAAGCGCGGGGAGCAAACAGGAUUAGAUACCCUAGUAGUC
rnacentral:rRNA from 1 species